UACGAAGGGGGCUAGCGUUGCUCGGAAUCACUGGGCGUAAAGCGCACGUAGGCGGAUUGCUAAGUCAGGGGUGAAAUCCUGGAGCUCAACUCCAGAACUGCCUUUGAUACUGGCGACCUUGAGUCCGGGAGAGGUGAGUGGAACUGCGAGUGUAGAGGUGAAAUUCGUAGAUAUUCGCAAGAACACCAGUGGCGAAGGCGGCGAUCUGGGCUGAUACUGACGCUGAGGUGCGAAAGCGUGGGGAGCAAACAGG
rnacentral:rRNA from 1 species